AGUCUCCUCUCCGGGUAGGCACUUCCCACCGUCCCCAGGGCAGCAGCCAGCCCGGGCGCACUCGAUGGCGCGCCAGGCCCGCGUUACGCGGCGGAGGCCGGCUUCGGGGGUCCCGCAGCAGCAACCUAAGCCCGGAGCGGCCUCGUAAGACGCCGCGGAAGAGGGGCUACCCUGGAAGAGCGAAUCCACGGCGCCGUUGCGUUCAGUGCAGCCAUCUUUGCCGCCGUGCAGGGGUCCCUGCGGACGGGCAGUCUCCAGUUUGCUGCAGUGGGCAGCAGCCCCCAGGCAACGAGGGCACAGAAGAACCACCCGCCCAGUAAGCAGCUUGCCCCAGAUGGGUGAAAGUAUCUGAGCAGAGGGAGGCUGCUUUUAAAAAGCCAACCAACCACGCUGUCCAAGCCUGGGAAGCCGGAGCGUAAGGCAGCGGAUGAAGAACGCGUGCCUGAACCCACCCUGUUCUACAGCCCGACCGCAGCUCUCCAUCGGUCACAUCCGCGGUGAGAUGCUAAAAGGGCCCCAAGUGUGGUUCCACCUGCAGAGUUCUCAAGCCAGGAACAGGUCCAAAUCAAAAACGCAGCACUGGGGCCAGUUCAGAACUGAAGAUCCACCCUUUACUACAAUUAUUCUCUAUUGCUUCACCCAUUUUAAAUUCAUGCCAGGCCUUUUCCACAACAAUCAGGAUUGUUUGUCUUAAUAUUUUAUGGAGGACCUUACUAAAAAGUUCUGGAAAAUGUUAAUGAUGGUGUCCACCUGGUCACCUUCAUCUAGUUAUUUACUUUUUCAAAGAACUCUGGAUGUAGUAAUGAUGACUGAUGCAAAAACGUAGAACUAAAUUAUCUUCUGACAUCUAAAUUUCUCUCCUAAUCUUAGUGGUCUCAAGGGCUACAGUGAGAGACAUAUGGAGCCUACUUGCUUUUAAUAUUUUUAGAUUGUAAAGCUCUUUGGGUAGCGAUGUCUUUUUGUUCUGUGUUUAUAAAGUGCCUAACACAAUGGGAUGCUGGUCUAUGCUUGGAAUUCCUAGGUGCUACCGCAAUACAACAACAACAACAACAAUUAAAAUGUUUUAAAAUACUUUAGCUUUAGUUUUUCUUCAUGUAGGACUUCAUUUUUAAUCUUAACAAUUGGUGAUAAUUUGCCUUUUUCAUUUCCAAUCUUCUCACCUGGCCUGGUUUGUGUUUUCAUCUGUAUUGUUUGGGCAGGAUUUCUACUUUCUGAAAUAUGUCUUAAGAUCUAAACUCAUGUGCUCUUCUGCUUAACUAUGCAAGGUUUUGCUUAGCUGUACACAAAAGUAGUACACUACACUCUCGGAUCUUCAACUCCCAUUAAUACAGUGUUAGUGAAUUACCGUAUAGACUAAUUCCAUGCUGAUCCAGUAUUUUUGAAUCCAAACAGCUAAACUCAGUUAUCUGAAUAAUGUCCAGAAAGAAAACAAAGCCAUUUCCACACCAUUUACAGAAGCAGGAGGUUACAUUUGGUUUAUUUAUUAGACAAGCAGCAGCAGACUAUUUUCUUGAAGGCAAGCUGUAUUCAUUCUGCAUAUGCAGUAGAUGUAGAGUGCAUGAAUAUAUACAUGGGAUACAAUCAACAGUAGAUACAUUCAUCACUAACGUAGUUGUAAAUCAGAAUAAAAUUAAAGAAAAAUAAUUCUGUAGACAAAUGUAGCAGAAAAUGCUACCCCUGGUGUACAGAACAGACAGUAGCGUCAGGCCAAAAUGUUGUUCUAAAUUUGUCACUUCAGUUUUAGUUAAUUAGGGCCCGAGCCAACUCCAAUGAGGACAAUGGAAGUCUUUCCAGUGACUGCAGUGGGCCCUGGAUCAGAUCCUUGAUGCAUAUCAUUCCUUCCGAAACUCAAGCAAUUCAAGCUAAAAUUGAGAAACAUAAGUUCAUAAAGUUUCAUGAGUCUAAUUUUUUAAAGAGAUUGAAAUCCAGACUCCAAUUUUGCAGGAAUAUUAUGUACCUGUAAAUAUAUGUGCCUGCAAUCAAGUGCAGAAACAAAUCUGACUUGCUCAUGCAAUCAAGUAAACAUUUGAAAUGGUGACAUUUGUACUCAAAUUAUUGCUGCUGCAAAACAGCUGGCACAAUUACUUAUGGUGAAACAGUAUGGCAGUAAAAGUGGACAUACUUUUAAAAUUUGGGCUUAAGAUGUCCAAGUCACAAACCCCACAGAAAGCAAUUUUUUUUCAGAAGAGAACAGUGAAAAUCAAUACAGGUAACAUAUAAAAAAAUAUAAAAAUACUGUAGUGUAUUUUAUUAAGUAACCUAUAGUCCUUCAGUUAUAUUUCUGUGAUAAAAGAUAGUUUGCUCUCACAAAAAGGAGAUAGCAAAGCAACUAAUAACUCUGUCGUUUUAACUUUCUGAAGUCUUUAUUUUUUUAAACUGAUCAAUAAGAGUACACAAUCUAAGCCCUCCUCUUCUCUUGCCUUCUUCCAGGCCAUGAAUGAACAGCUAUUAUUGAGCAAAGGAUGAAUGAAGCACUCUUUCUCAUCUGAAGUUUGUAAACAAGAACAGAAGUACUAGGAUCUUAAAUAUUAUAAUUUGUUAUGGAAUGCUUAUCCCAUUGCCCUACCAUUCACACAGUCAAUAAAUUCCAAGGUUAUUGUUAAGUUCUUCUUUAGCAUGAUACUUUACUAGCAGACAAGAAAUAGACCAGUGCAAUGUUUACUGUAUUCUUUUAUGCUAAACAUCAAAUUCCCAAAACAU